GAUGAACGCUGGCGGCGUGCCUAAUACAUGCAAGUCGAGCGAACAGACGAGGAGCUUGCUCCUCUGACGUUAGCGGCGGACGGGUGAUUAACACGUGGAUAACCUACCUAUAAGACUGGGAUAACUUCGGGAAACCGGAGCUAAUACCGGAUAAUAUAUUGAACCGCAUGGUUCAAUAGUUAAAGACGGUUUUGCUGUCACUUAUAGAUGGAUCCGCGCCGCAUUAGCUAGUUGGUAAGGUAACGGCUUACCAAGGCGACGAUGCGUAGCCGACCUGAGAGGGUGAUCGGCCACACUGGAACUGAGACACGGUCCAGACUCCUACGGGAGGCAGCAGUAGGGAAUCUUCCGCAAUGGGCGAAAGCCUGACGGAGCAACGCCGCGUGAGUGAUGAAGGUCUUCGGAUCGUAAAACUCUGUUAUUAGGGAAGAACAAAUGUGUAAGUAACUAUGCACGUCUUGACGGUACCUAAUCAGAAAGCCACGGCUAACUACGUG
rnacentral:rRNA from 1 species